rnacentral:lncRNA from 1 species
GUAGGAGCAGGAGCUGGGAGGAGCAGGAGGAGGAGCAGGAGCAGUUGGAGGAGGAGCUGGAGAAGAAGGAGCAACUGGAGGAAGAUGAGGAGGAGCAGCUGGAGGAGGAGGAGCUGGGGAGGAGCAUCUAGAGGAGGAGUGGGAGGAGGAGUAGCUGGAGGAGAAGGAAGGAGCUGGAGGAAGAGGAAGAGCAGGAGGAAGAGAAGCUGGAGAAGAAGGAGCAACUGGAGGAAGAUGAGGAGGAGCAGUUGGAGGAGCAGGAUCUGGGGGAGGAGCAGCUGGAGGAGCUGCUGGAGGAGCAGGAAGAAUGGGAGUGGGCACAGCUGGAGGAAGAGCUGGAGGAGAAGGAAUCCAAUGCAUCCAGAGCCAUGAGGGUUUGGCUGCAGAUGGACGCUCUGGGUUGCCUCGUGCUUCUGGAAGCCAGUCCUGGCUUUCCUUUGAAUCUGAGGACUUUACUCAUUUUUAUUCAUUUGUGAAGAAGGGACCAUCCAAAUGUUUUAUGAAACCAACACAGGAGAACAUUAAUGGAUCAAAUUUUGCCUUUGAAGAGGCAGAGGUCAGUGUGCGUUUGGGCAGGAGACACGACAUGCCGGGGACAAGUCUGCGCGUGGGUGAGCUUCGUCCCGUGAGCUUCUUUCUAUUCCAGAGGGCUCUGAAGGAGGGUGGAUUUGUAUUCCUGUCUCUCCCUCCCUCAGGAUGAGGCUGUGUGCUUACUGGAAAAACAGAAACAGUGAGAACUCAGCCAUCUUCGGACGGAAAAAGCCCCUUGUUUCUUUUGUCUUUUUAGUGGAACCAGACCAUGAGGACACAAGGGCCAGAGGGAGGCCCUUCCCAUGCCUCUCCCUGUGCUGUGUUACUGCUCACCUGAGUGUGGAACUACACUCUGACAAGAAAGAAGCACAUUAAGUCUUAAUUUAGCCUGAACUAAGCACAUACGUUGAAGCCAGAUUACUUCUACUAGCUUUGCCAAGACUGUGGCCUCUAGGGCAAGACUUCCCUGUUUUCUUAGAAUUUUGAAAUGCCACCUUCAGCUCAGUAGGGCAGUAUGCUCCUGUGAUACCAGGGAUCGGGAAGCAGAAGAACAAUUGUGAGUUCAAGGCCAGCCCAGGCAACACAGCACCCUAGACUCCAUCUCAUAAAACAACAACAAAACAAAGACAUCUCAAAUCAUAGCAACCCAACAACAAAUGAAAAACCCCUGUUACCACUCAUGCUAUUUACCACUCAGAUCCACUAAAAAAGAUUCUCCAAGACUGGGGGCUUGACCAAGAGUUAAGAACAUUAGCUGCUCUUGCAGAGGACCUAGGUUCAAUUCCCAGCACUUACAAGGUAGCUCACAACCAUCUGUAACUCCAGUCCAGGAGGAUCUGAUGCUUUCUUUUGGCCUCUGUACCCACAUGGUGUGUAGAUAUGCAUGCAGACAAACCACUAUACACAUAAAAUAAAACUAAGGGAAAUAAAUCUGUCUUGUGUACACACACAUGAAGACUACUGUUUCACUCACCACAUAUUCUAUACUUGUUCUAAAGAUAUAAGCAUUUUGUUGUCUUUCCUGAGUCCACUCCUCUCACUGAUAUUUGCUGGCAGCUUUUGGUUGAAUACCUACAUUUUUGGUCAAACACAAAGUCCUGCUCUUGCAGUGUUUAUUUUCUAAUAGGAGAGGGGAGGGUGCUACCAAAUUGACUACCAAGAUCACUGUAGACAGUGAGGGUGCUAUUAGGGAAAUAAGACUGUAACAUGCAGAACAUUGGAGUGCAGGUGGAGAGUCAUUCAAGUCAGACUUGGGCCUACUUCUGAGCAUCCAUACAAAGGAGAUAAAAUCACUGUCUCAAAGAAAGCUUCAGAAACUGGGGAGCCGGCUUCGUUAAGAGCACUGGCUGCUCUUGCAGAGGACCCAGUUCAGAUCCCAGCAGCUAUACUGGCAGGCCUGUAACUCCA